AGGGGGCGAGCGUUGUCCGGAAUUAUUGGGCGUAAAGAGCUCGUAGGCGGUCCGUUAAGUCGGAAGUGAAAUCUCAAGGCUCAACCGCGGAUCAGCGUUGGAUACUGGCAGGCUCGACGGUUGGAGAGGCGAGUGGAAUUACCAGUGUAGCGGUGGAAUGCGUAGAUACUGGUAGGAACACCCAUUGCGAAGGCAGCUCGCUGGACAACACGUGACGCUGAGGCGCGAAAGUGUGGGGAGCAAACCG
rnacentral:rRNA from 1 species